UGGGUAAUGAAGUUAAAAAAG
ensembl:piRNA 21ur-3560 ncRNA